AAAAAUUUUAAAUAAAAACAAAAAAAAGAAGCCUAAAUUUUCAUCCCAAUUGACUUUGCCUCCUCCCAGCCAGGAGACCUGGGCGCGUCAAUAAACCUGCUUCCCGUCUGUACGAUGGGGAUAUUAACGUUCCCUGCUUCCUUCGGUCGUUGUGAUAGCUCAGUAAGUGAACACCCACAUUGCUUAGUACACAGGGAGUGCUCUCUCAACACCGGGUGCUCUGAUGCCCCGGACCAGGGGCCGAGCCCCUGGACAGACUUGAUUUCUUACAAAUAAUCUGGCAUUGCAGUAGCGGCCUGACCUGCUUAGGGGAGAGAGGGUGACCUUGCAGGCAGCCCCACCUGGUCUGCUGAGUCUCCCUGGGACACCAGUGACACCCUGCCUCCACUUGUUACACUGGGUGAGCUCUCCCUCCGCCAGGGCCCCUCUCUGGCUGGUCUGCCCAACCACAGGACAAUCAGGCUUUCGGCCAGGCAGUUACAGUAAGUCAGGCCCGCCCUUCCUCACAUGGGGUACCCACCAAGCCUGGGGCCAGAGCCUCUGGCUUCCCAUAGAGGAGGGGAAGGGGGGGGAUGGAGAGGCCCUUCCUUGCCAGGUGCGCUGUUAACCCCCACCCCCAGAACAUGCUGCUGGUCUUUCCCAGUGAUUUCCAGGGGCUGCCUUGUCCUGGCAACCACCAGGCCCAAGCUGCAAAGGGCAGCUGAAACAGCAAAUGAUGUUCAGAAAGAGGCUGACUCACUCCAGCCAGGCUGCGCCCUCCGUGAAUACUGUUGGACCUCAGCCUGGGAUUCCCGCAGGUUCGGACAACAAGUUGGACCAUCCUCUUGGAGGAGGCACGUUCCAAGGAUCGCGCCAGGGGCGCCUGGGUGGCUCCGUCCGUUAGGCAGUUAAGAGACUGCCUUCAGCUCAGGCCAUGAUCUCACCGUUCUUGAGUUCGAGCCCCGCGUCGGACUCUGUGCGGACAGCCUGGAACCUGCUCUGGAUUCUGUGUCGCCCUCUCUCUCUGCCCCUCCCCCGCUCACACUCUGGCUCUCUCCCUCUCAAAAAUAAGUAUUUUUUUUUAAUUUUUUUUAACGUUUAUUUAUUUCGGAGACAGAGACAGAGCAUGAACGGGGGAGGGGCAGAGAGAGAGGGAGACACAGAAUCGGAAACAGGCUCCAGGCUCUGAGCCAUCAGCCCAGAGCCCGAUGCGGGGCUCGAACUCCCGGACCGCGAGAUCGUGACCUGAGCUGAAGUCGGACGCUUAACCAACUGCGCCACCCAGGCGCCCCCAAAAUAAGUAUUUUUAAAAAUGUUUAAAAUAAAAAAAAUUAAAGGGUCA
rnacentral:lncRNA from 1 species